rnacentral:rRNA from 1 species
CGCGGCCUAUCAGCUUGUUGGUGGGGUAAUGGCCUACCAAGGCGACGACGGGUAGCCGGCCUGAGAGGGCGACCGGCCACACUGGGACUGAGACACGGCCCAGACUCCUACGGGAGGCAGCAGUGGGGAAUAUUGCACAAUGGGCGAAAGCCUGAUGCAGCGACGCCGCGUGAGGGAUGACGGCCUUCGGGUUGUAAACCUCUCUCAGCAGGGAAGAAGCGGAAGUGUCGGUACCUGCAGAAGAAGCGCCGGCUAACUACGUGCCAGCAGCCGCGGUAAUACGUAGGGCGCAAGCGUUGUCCGGAAUUAUUGGGCGUAAAGAGCUCGUAGGCGGCUUGUCACGUCGGAUGUGAAAGCCCGAGGCUUAACCUCGGGUCUGCAUUCGAUACGGGCUAGCUAGAGUGUGGUAGGGGAGAUCGGAAUUCCUGGUGUAGCGGUGGAAUGCGCAGAUAUCAGGAGGAACACCAAUGGCGAAGGCAGGACUCUGGGCCAUUACUGACACUGAGGAGCGAAAGCGUGGGGAGCGAACAGGAUUAGAUACCCUGGUAGUCCACGCCGUAAACGGUGGGCACUAGUUGAGGGGACCUUCCACGGUCUCUGCGACGCAGCUAACGCAUUAAGCGCCCCGCCUGGGGAGUACGG